CGCGUAGGCGGCUUUAUAAGUCGGGGGUGAAAGCCUGUGGCUCAACCACAGAAUUGCCUUCGAUACUGUAGAGCUUGAGACCGGAAGAGGUAAGUGGAACUGCGAGUGUAGAGGUGAAAUUCGUAGAUAUUCGCAAGAACACCAGUGGCGAAGGCGGCUUACUGGUCCGGUUCUGACGCUGAGGCGCGAAAGCGUGGGAGCAAACA
rnacentral:rRNA from 1 species